GACGAACGCUGGCGGCGUGCCUAACACAUGCAAGUCGAGCGGAGGCGGAGGAUAGCCCAGCGAUGGGAAGGAAUCGGCUUUAGCGGCGAACGGGUGAGUAACACGUGGGCAAUCUGCCCUCUGGAGCGGGAUAACAGACCGAAAGGCCUGCUAAUACCGCAUGAGGCCGGACCUUCGCAUGGAGGAGCGGUCAAAGGGGAAACCCGCCGGAGGAGGAGCCCGCGUCCCAUUAGCUAGUUGGCGGUGUAACGGACCACCAAGGCGAUGAUGGGUAGCCGGCCUGAGAGGGUGAACGGCCACAUUGGGACUGAGACACGGCCCAGACUCCUACGGGGGGCAGCAGUGAGGGAUUUUCGGCAAUGGGCGAAAGUCUGACCGAGCGACGCCGCGUGAGCGAAGAAGGCCUUCGGGUCGUAAAGCUCUGUCUAGGGGGAAGAGAACGGACGGUACCCCUGGAGGAAGCCACGGCUAACUACGUGCCAGCAGCCGCUGUAAAAC
rnacentral:rRNA from 1 species